AUGCUACUCCCUCCGUCCGAAAAAGCUUGUCCCAAGCUUGUCCCUCAAAUGAAUGUAUCUAGCACUAAUUUGGAGCUAGGUACAUCUAUUUGAGGGCUUUUUCGGACGGAGGGAGUAUUUU
rfam:Triticum aestivum genome assembly, contig: Triticum_aestivum_CS42_TGACv1_scaffold_408262_5BL